rnacentral:lncRNA from 1 species
AUAUAAUUCGGGGCUGGGAUGUGGCUCAAGCGGUAGCGCGCUCACCUGGCAUGCGUGCGGCCCGGGUUCGAUCCUCAGCACCACAUACAAACAAAGAUGUUGUGUCCGCCAAGUACUAAAAAAAUAAAUAUUAAAAAAUUCUCUCUCUCUCUACCUCUAUCUCUCUCACUCUCUCUUUAAAAAAAAAAAAAAGAAAAUUAUAUAAUUCGCUGCUUAACUAGAAAAUGCAUCCAGG